rnacentral:rRNA from 1 species
AUUGAACGCUGGCGGCAGGCCUAACACAUGCAAGUCGAACGAGUGGCGGACGGGUGAGUAAUGUCUGGGAAACUGCCUGAUGGAGGGGGAUAACUACUGGAAACGGUAGCUAAUACCGCAUACCAUCAGAUGUGCCCAGAUGGGAUUAGCUAGUAGGUGGGGUAAUGGCUCACCUAGGCGACGAUCCCUAGCUGGUCUGAGAGGAUGACCAGCAACACGGGAACUGAGACACGGUCAAGACUCCUACGGGAGGCAGCAGUGGGGAAUAUUGCACAAGGGGCGCAAGCCGGAUACAGCCAUGCCGCGUGUAUGAAGAAGGCCUUCGGGUUGUAAAGGACUUUCAGCGAGGAGGCGUUACUCGCAGAAGAAGCACCGGCUAACUCCGUGCCAGCAGCCGCGGUAAUAC